GACGAACGCUGGCGGCGUGCUUAACACAUGCAAGUCACGGGGGCCCGCAAGGGCAACCGGCGAACGGGUGCGUAACACGUGAACAACCUGCCCUCGUGUGGGGGAUAGCCAUGCUAACGCGUGGGUAAUACCGCAUACGGUCCUUUGGGGGAGUCCCUGGGGGAAGAAAGCUCCGGCGCACGGGGAGGGGUUCGCGGCCUAUCAGCUAGUUGGGGGGU
rnacentral:rRNA from 1 species